rnacentral:rRNA from 1 species
GAUGAACGCUGGCGGCGUGCCUAACACAUGCAAGUCGAACGAACGGACGGUAAGCUUUUGUCUCUGCUGGUAGCGGCGGGCGGGUGAGUGACACAUGGAUAACAUACCUCUAAUUCUUGGGGAACAUCGGGAGACCGGAGCUACUACUGGAGAAUAUUUUGUACCGCAGGAUUCAGGGGUGAAAGACGGUCUUGCCGUCAGUUAUAGAUGGUUCCGGGUUGGAUUAGCUAGUUGGUAAGGUAACGGCUUACCAAGGCAACGAUGCGUAGCCGACCUGAGAGGGUGAUCGGCCACACUGGAACUGAGACACGGUCCAGACUCCUACGGGAGGCAGCAGUAGGGAAUAUUCCGCAAUGGGCGAAAGCCUGACGGAGCAACGCCGCGUGAGUGAAGAAGGUCUUCGGAUCGUAAAGCUCUGUUAUUAGGGAAGAAAAGAUGUGUAAGUAACUGUGCAUAUCUUGACGGUACCUAAACAGAAAGCACCGGCUAACUACGUG